rnacentral:rRNA from 1 species
UACAGAGGGUGCAAGCGUUAAUCGGCAUUACUGGGCGUAAAGCGUGCGUAGACGGUUAUGUAAGUCGGGUGUGAAAGCCCCGGGCUCAACCUGGGAAUUGCAUUCGAGACUGCAUAGCUAGGGUGCGGAAGAGGGAAGCGGAAUUUCCGGUGUAGCGGUGAAAUGCGUAGAUAUCGGAAGGAACACCAGUGGCGAAGGCGGCUCACUGGACCGGCAUUGACGCUGAUGUGCGAAAGCGUGGGGAGCAAACAGG